UACGUAGGGCGCAAGCGUUAUCCGGAAUUAUUGGGCGUAAAGAGCUCGUAGGCGGUUUGUCGCGUCUGCCGUGAAAGUCCGGGGCUCAACUCCGGAUCUGCGGUGGGUACGGGCAGACUAGAGUGAUGUAGGGGAGACUGGAAUUCCCGGUGUAGCGGUGAAAUGCGCAGAUAUCGGGAGGAACACCGGUGGCGAAGGCGGUUCUCUGGACAGUUCCUGACGCUGAGGCACGAAGGUCAGGGGGAGCAAACGGG
rnacentral:rRNA from 1 species